rnacentral:rRNA from 1 species
GAUGAACGCUGACGGCGUGCCUAAUACAUGCAAGUCGAGCGAAUGGAUUAAGAGCUUGCUCUUAUGAAGUUAGCGGCGGACGGGUGAGUAACACGCGGGUAACCUGCCCAUAAGACUGGGAUAACUCCGGGAAACCGGGGCUAAUACCGGAUAACAUUUUGAACCGCAUGGUUCGAAAUUGAAAGGCGGCUUCGGCUGUCACUUAUGGAUGGACCCGCGUCGCAUUAGCUAGUUGGUGAGGUAACGGCUCACCAAGGCAACGAUGCGUAGCCGACCUGAGAGGGUGAUCGGCCACACUGGGACUGAGACACGGCCCAGACUCCUACGGGAGGCAGCAGUAGGGAAUCUUCCGCAAUGGACGAAAGUCUGACGGAGCAACGCCGCGUGAGUGAUGAAGGCUUUCGGGUCGUAAAACUCUGUUGUUAGGGAAGAACAAGUGCUAGUUGAAUAAGCUGGCACCUUGACGGUACCUAACCAGAAAGCCACGGCUAACUACGUGCCAGCCGCCGCCGUAA